AGUCCCCCGCUUUGCCGAAGCCCUGCGUGCCACGCGGGGUACUUUGUAGGCAAAGUGGGGGAUU
rnacentral:sRNA from 12 species